rnacentral:rRNA from 1 species
AUUGAACGCUGGCGGCAGGCCUAACACAUGCAAGUCGAGCGGCAGCGGAAAGUAGCUUGCUACUUUGCCGGCGAGCGGCGGACGGGUGAGUAAUGUCUGGGAAACUGCCUGAUGGAGGGGGAUAACUACUGGAAACGGUAGCUAAUACCGCAUAAUGUCGCAAGACCAAAGAGGGGGACCUUCGGGCCUCUUGCCAUCAGAUGUGCCCAGAUGGGAUUAGCUAGUAGGCGGGGUAACGGCUCACCUAGGCGACGAUCCCUAGCUGGUCUGAGAGGAUGACCAGCCACACUGGAACUGAGACACGGUCCAGACUCCUACGGGAGGCAGCAGUGGGGAAUAUUGCAUAAUGGGCGCAAGCCUGAUGCGGCCAUGCCGCGUGUAUGAAGAAGGCCUUCGGGUUGUAAAGUACUUUCAGCGGGGAGGAAGGUGCUGAGGUUAAUAACCUCAGCAAUUGACGUUACCCGCAGAAGAAGCACCGGCUAACUCCGUGCCAGCAGCCGCAGUAA